rnacentral:lncRNA from 1 species
AGAGGCAAACGUACKCUAUGCAUGUCUCACCCUACUUUAUUUGAUACAAAAAGUCUGAUUUGAUGUCUCAAAGAUUUAUAGUUUAAAAGGCUUGGAAAAAAUAGAGUAUGAGGAACUUGGAUUUUUUUUUAAUGUAUUUUCAAACACAGAAUCAGCUUUAGUGGUACUCAGCAUCCAAAGCUGGAUUUCAGUCAUACGCCUCUCUCUGUUUAUCUGGAGAAAAAGGAGGUAUUUUCCCAUAAUCGUAUAUUGGCUUUGUCUGAACAUAGUCCCAGGGCUGCCACUUGCAAUGACGCAGGAUGGAACAGCUGCGUCCUGGGAAUUCGGCUCAAAGCGAAAGGAAGAGAUUCUGCCUGCUCAAACCGAAAGUGCUCCUCUGUCUCCUUUCUGCUGUAGACAACAGCCUUCCGCGAAAGGUGUCACUCCUGCUGCCCUCGUUAUCUUCCAAAAGAGUGGACUAAUUACUGAUGACACCCUACAAGGAAAGAUGUGUACUGAAAAGUGAUGCCCUGAUCUGCAGAAACGUUGCUGCACAAUUGACUGUAUUUGGACCAAAUAUAUUCUUGUCUGUGUGUUUCCAUGGUCAAGGAUUUAGAUUUUAAGCUAUACUGAAAGCAUCAUGCAUAAUUAAUUUUAAUAAUAAACACCUCUGACUUAAUUU